UGUUAAAAGUUCCAUCUAUUUCUACUAUUAAAAACUGGCGUAGCUGACGAAAUAGCCAGUUAUAUAUGGCAUGUCACAUUUACCUCAUACUAAUGUACAGGGACCAGUUUUUAACCAUAAAAAUGGAUGGAAUUUUUAAUA
rfam:Gossypium raimondii Chr13_contig_1352, whole genome shotgun sequence.